AUUGAACGCUGGCGGCAGGCUUAACACAUGCAAGUCGAACGCGUGGCGGACGGGUGAGUAAUGCGUGGAACUGUAGCUUAUGGAGGGGGAUAACUAGGGGAAGCUGUAGCUAAUACCACGAACCAUAGGAAGAGCCCAAGUGGGAUUAGGUAGUUGGUGGGGUAAAGGCUCACCAAGCCGACGCUCUAUCGCUGGUCUGAGGGGAUUACCAGCCACCCGUGGACUGAGACCCGGCCCAGACUCCUACGGGAGGCAGCAGUGGGGAAUAUUGCGCAAUGGGGGCAACCUGACGCAGCCAUGCCGCGUGAAUGAAGAAGGCCUUCUGGGUGUAAAGUUCUUUCGGUAGCGAGGCGUUAACUACCGAAGGAGCACCCGCUAACUCCGUGCCAGCAGCCGCGGUAAUUC
rnacentral:rRNA from 1 species